AGCUAUCCUCCAUCCAUAUCUCGAACCUGUGAUACCAUGCCAACUUAUGUGUUCGACUCGUGAGAACCAUGCUUGUGUAUCAUUUAUUCACUCACUCAUGCAUGCAUGCAUCAUAAAAAAAUUCAAAUACAAUAUUCAUGCAUCAUUCUGCAUAUCAUCAGACAAAAGCCAGAAAACAUACCAUUUGACCCUUCUAUCCAGAAUCAUCCACAAUCAAGUUGACUUCCC
rnacentral:lncRNA from 1 species